AUUGAACGCUGGCGGCAGGCUUAACACGUGCAAGUCGAGCGGGGAAAGGUAGCUUGCUACCGGACCUAGCGGCGGACGGGUGAGUAAUGCUUAGGAAUCUGUCUAUUAGUGGGGGACAACAUCUCGAAAGGGAUGCUAAUACCGCAUACGUCCUACGGGAGAAAGCAGGGGAUCUUCGGACCUUGCGCUAAUAGAUGAGCCUAAGUCGGAUUAGCUAGUUGGUGGGGUAAAGGCUUACCAAGGCGACGAUCUGUAGCGGGUCUGAGAGGAUGAUCCGCCACACUGGGACAGAGACACGGCCCAGACUCCUACGGGAGGCAGCAGUGGGGAAUAUUGGACAAUGGGGGGAACCCUGAUCCAGCCAUGCCGCGUGUGUGAAGAAGGCCUUAUGGUUGUAAAGCACUUUAAGCGAGGAGGAGGCUACUCUAGUUAAUACCUAGGGAUAGUGGACGUUACUCGCAGAAUCAGCACCGGCUAACUCUGUGCCAGCAGCCGCCGUAA
rnacentral:rRNA from 1 species